UCCUGGCUGGCUCAAUUCGUAGAGCGUGUGCCUCUCAAUCAUGGGAUCAUGAGUUCAAGCCCCAUGCUGGGCG
rnacentral:tRNA from 1 species